rnacentral:rRNA from 1 species
AUGGGUAGGGGAGCGUCGUGUGCCGGGUGAAGCCUCCGCGGAAGCGAGGGGUGGACGGUUCACGAGUGAGAAUGCAGGCAUGAGUAGCGAUACACACGUGGGAAACGUGUGCGCCGAUUGACUAAGGGUUCCUGGGUCAAGCUGAUCUGCCCAGGGUAAGUCGGGACCUAAGGCGAGGCCGACAGGCGUAGUCGAUGGACAACCGGUUGAUAUUCCGGUACCCGCUUUGAAACGCCCAGUACUGAACCAGGCGAUGCUAAGACCGUGAAGCCGUCCUGGAGCCUUCGGGCAAAGGGAAGUGGUGGAGCCGUCGGACCAGACUUGCAGUAGGUAAGCGAUGGGGUGACGCAGGAAGGUAGUCCAGCCCGGGCGGUGGUUGUCCCGGGGUAAGGGUGUAG